CCCAUAUCUUAGCUUUUUUUUUGUUUUGCUGGUAGUGAGCAAAAAGAUAAAGAGCAGCAGCAGUAAAAGAUAGAUGAUGUGUGUGAAAAAUAGAUCUUUCAGCAAGGGAUCGAGAAAGAAAAAAUAAAUUAUAAACAUUAUAUGAUUGGCCAAUUUGCACAAAAAAAGAAUAUUUCUAGCGUCAAGCCGAACUUUUACGAAUACACAUACUUUGAAAGUACUAGCAGCGCUCUCUCUGUCUGGGCUUUGUUCAAACAGGAUCUGAACGUAUAUUACGUUGUGACAAGUUUUAAACCAACAUCAGUCCAAAGUGGUCGCAACUUAAAAAAACAUCUCGCUCGCAGUGAUACCAAAAAUACAAAACAAUUGGAGACACACACUAGAAAAAACCUUCAGAGUUAAAUAAACCGAGUUAAAACAAAAUAAUAAUAAUAAAUAUACUACGAAAUAUAUUUACAUGUA